rnacentral:rRNA from 1 species
AUUGAACGCUGGCGGCAUGCUUUACACAUGCAAGUCGAACGGCAGCGCUGGCUUCGGCCUGGCUGCGAGUGGCGCACGGGUGAGUAAUACAUCGGAACGUGCCCAGUAGUGGGGGAUAGCUCGCCGAAAGCCGGAUUAAUACCGCAUACUACCUGAGUGUGAAAGCUGGGGAUCUUCUGACCUCGCGCUCUUUUAGCGGCCGAUGGCCGAUUAGCUAGUUGGUGGGGUAAAGGCCUACCAAGGCGACGAUCUGUAGCUGGUCUGAGAGGACGACCAGCCACACGGGAACGGAGACAGGGACCAGACUACUACGGGAGGCAGCAGUGGGGAAUGUGGGACAAUGGGCGAAAGCAUGAUACAGCAAUGCAGCGUGUGAGAUGAAGGCCUUCGGGUUGUAAAGAAGGUUUGGCGGGAACGAAAAGGACUGUGCAAAUACCACGGGUAGAUGACGGUACCCGCAGAAUAAGCACCGGCUAACUACGUG